rnacentral:rRNA from 1 species
AACGAACGCUGGCGGCAUGCCUAACACAUGCAAGUCGAACGAUGCCUUCGGGCAUAGUGGCGCACGGGUGCGUAACGCGUGGGAAUCUGCCUUUCGGUUCGGAAUAACUCAGGGAAACUUGAGCUAAUACCGGAUAACGUCGCAAGACCAAAGAUUUAUCACCGAAAGAUGAGCCCGCGUAGGAUUAGCUAGUUGGUGAGGUAAAGGCUCACCAAGGCGACGAUCCUUAGCUGGUCUGAGAGGAUGAUCAGCCACACUGGGACUGAGACACGGCCCAGACUCCUACGGGAGGCAGCAGUGGGGAAUAUUGGACAAUGGGCGAAAGCCUGAUCCAGCACUGCCGCGUGAGUGAUGAAGGCCUUAGGGUUGUAAAGCUCUUUUACCCGGGAAGAUAAUGACGGUACCGGGAGAAUAAGCCCCGGCUAACUCCGUG